rnacentral:rRNA from 1 species
AUUGAACGCUGGCGGCAUGCCUUACACAUGCAAGUCGAACGGCAGCACGGACUUCGGUCUGGUGGCGAGUGGCGAACGGGUGAGUAAUGUAUCGGAACGUACCUUUCAGUGGGGGAUAACGUAGCGAAAGUUACGCUAAUACCGCAUAUUCUGUGAGCAGGAAAGCAGGGGAUCGCAAGACCUUGCGCUGAUUGAGCGGCCGAUAUCAGAUUAGCUAGUUGGUGGGGUAAAGGCCUACCAAGGCUACGAUCUGUAGCGGGUCUGAGAGGAUGAUCCGCCACACUGGAACUGAGACACGGUCCAGACUCCUACGGGAGGCAGCAGUGGGGAAUUUUGGACAAUGGGGCGAACCCUGAUCCAGCCAUGCCGCGUGAGUGAAGAAGGCCUCGUUGUAAGUA